UACGGGGGGGGCAGGCGUUGUUCGGAAUUACUGGGCGUAAAGGGCGCGUAGGCGGUCGUGACAAGUCACUUGUGAAAUCUCCGGGCUUAACUCGGAACGGUCAAGUGAUACUGUCGGACUAGAGUACAGAAGGGCAACUGGAAUUCUCGGUGUAGCGGUGAAAUGCGUAGAUAUCGAGAGGAACACCUGCGGCGAAGGCGGGUUGCUGGGCUGAUACUGACGCUGAGGAGCGAAAGCGUGGGGAGCGAACAGG
rnacentral:rRNA from 1 species